rnacentral:rRNA from 1 species
AGGCAUGCCUGCCCAGUGACACCAGUUUAACGGCCGCGGUAUUCUGACCGUGCAAAGGUAGCAUAAUCACUUGUUNUCCAAAUAAGGACUUGUAUGAAUGGCCACACGAGGGUUUUACUGUCUCUUACUUCCAAUCAGUGAAAUUAACCUUCCCGUGAAGAGGCGGGAAUAAAAAAAUAAGACGAGAAGACCCUAUGGAGCUUUAAUUAACUAUUCCAAAAGUUAAACAACUCAACCACAAAGGGAUAAAACAUAACUUAACAUGGACUAGCAAUUUCGGUUGGGGUGACCUCGGAGUACAAAAAACCCUCCGAGUGAUUUUAAUCUAGACAAACCAGUCAAAAUAAUCAUAACAUCACUUAUUGAUCCAAAAUUUUGAUCAACGGAACAAGUUACCCUAGGGAUAACAGCGCAAUCCUGUUCUAGAGUUCCUAUCGACAAUAGGGUUUACGACCUCGAUGUUGGAUCAGGACACCCAAAUGGUGCAACCGCUAUUAAA